rnacentral:rRNA from 1 species
UACGUAGGGUGCAAGCGUUAAUCGGAAUUACUGGGCGUAAAGCGUGCGCAGGCGGUUUUGUAAGUCAGAUGUGAAAUCCCCGGGCUUAACCUGGGAACUGCGUUUGAAACUACAAGGCUAGAGUGUGGCAGAGGGGGGGUGGAAUUCCACGUGUAGCAGUGAAAUGCGUAGAGAUGUGGAGAAACACCGAUGGCGAAGGCAGCCCCCCUGGGUUAACACUGACGCUCAGGCACGAAAGCGUGGGGAGCAAACAGG